rnacentral:rRNA from 1 species
UACAGAGACUGCAAGCGUUAUUCGGAUUCACUGGGCGUAAAGGGGUGCGCAGGCGGCCAAGUGUGUGAGGCGUGAAAGCCUGGAGCUUAACUCCAGAAUUCACCUCAAACUACAUGGCUAGAGCAUUGGAGAGGGUAGCAGAAUUCAUGGUGUAGCAGUGAAAAUGCGUAGAUAUCAUGAGGAAUACCAGAGGCGAAGGCGGCUACCUGGACAAAUUGCUGACCGCUCAGGCACGAAAAGCGUGGGGGAGCAAAAAGGG